GCGGACGGGUGAGUAACGCGUAAAGAACUUGCCUCACAGCUAGGGACAACAUUUAGAAAUGAAUGCUAAUACCUAAUAUUAUGAUAAUAGGGCAUCCUAUAAUUAUGAAAGCUAUAUGCGCUGUGAGAGAGCUUUGCGUCCCAUUAGCUAGUUGGAGAGGUAACGGCUCACCAAGGCGAUGAUGGGUAGCCGGCCUGAGAGGGUGAUCGGCCACAAGGGGACUGAGACACGGCCCUUACUCCUACGGGAGGCAGCAGUGGGGAAUAUUGGACAAUGGACCGGGAGUCUGAUCCAGCAAUUCUGUGUGCACGAUGAAGUUUUUCGGAAUGUAAAGUGCUUUCAGUUGGGAAGAAAUAAAUGACGGUACCAACAGAAGAAGUGACGGCUAAAUACGUGCCAGCAGCCGCGGUAAUACGUAUGUCACGAGCGUUAUCCGGAUUUAUUGGGCGUAAAGCGCGUCUAGGUGGUUAUAUAAGUCUGAUGUGAAAAUGCAGGGCUCAACUCUGUAUUGCGUUGGAAACUGUAUAACUAGAGUACUGGAGAGGUAAGCGGAACUACAAGUGUAGAGGUGAAAUUCGUAGAUAUUUGUAGGAAUGCCGAUGGGGAAGCCAGCUUACUGGACAGAUACUGACGCUGAAGCGCGAAAGCGUGGGUAGCAAACAGGAUUAGAUACCCUGGUAGUCCACGCUGUAAACGAUGAUUACUAGGUGUUGGGGGUCGAACCUCAGCGCCCAAGCAAACGCGAUAAGUAAUCCGCCUGGGGAGUACGUACGCAAGUAUGAAACUCAAAGGAAUUGACGGG
rnacentral:rRNA from 1 species